GGACUACAGGGGUUUCUAAUCCCGUUUGCUCCCCUGGCUUUCGUGUCUCAGUGUCAGCGAACCCCCAGCGAGCUGUUUUCACCGUUGGCGUUCCAAAUGAUAUCUACGCAUUUCACCGCUCCACCAUUUGUUCCGCUCGCCCCUAGGUUGCUCAAGACCAGCAGUAUACCCAGCCGUUCCAUGGUUAAGCCAUGGGAUUUCACAAGGUACUUACCAGUCCACCUACACACGCUUUAAGCCCAGUGAUUCCGCCUAACGCUUGGCACCUCUGUCUUACCGCGGCGGCUGGCAC
rnacentral:rRNA from 1 species